rnacentral:rRNA from 1 species
GCCUAAUACAUGCAAGUCGAGCGAACAGAAAAGGAGCUUGCUCCUUUGACGUUAGCGGCGGGCGGGUGAGUAACACGUGGGCAACCUACCCUAUAGUGUGGGAUAACUCCGGGAAACCGGGGCUAAUACCGAAUAAUCUCUUUUGCUUCAUGGUGAAAGACUGAAAGACGGUUUCGGCUGUCGCUAUAGGAUGGGCCCGCGGCGCAUUAGCUAGUUGGUGAGGUAACGGCUCACCAAGGCGACGAUGCGUAGCCGACCUGAGAGGGUGAUCGGCCACACUGGGACUGAGACACGGCCCAGACUCCUACGGGAGGCAGCAGUAGGGAAUCUUCCACAAUGGGCGAAAGCCUGAUGGAGCAACGCCGCGUGAGUGAAGAAGGUUUUCGGAUCGUAAAACUCUGUUGUAAGGGAAGAACAAGUACAGUAGUAACUGGCUGUACCUUGACGGUACCUUAUUAGAAAGCCACGGCUAACUACGUGCCAGCAGCCGCGGUAAUACGUAGGUGGCAAGCGUUGUCCGGAAUUAUUGGGCGUAAAGCGCGCGCAGGCGGUCCUUUAAGUCUGAUGUGAAAGCCCACGGCUCAACCGUGGAGGGUCAUUGGAAACUGGGGGACUUGAGUGCAGAAGAGGAAAGUGGAAUUCCAAGUGUAGCGGUGAAAUGCGUAGAGAUUUGGAGGAACACCAUUGGCGAAGGCGACUUUCUGGUCUGUAACUGACGCUGAGGCGCGAAAGCGGUGGGAGCAAACAGGAUUAGAUACCCUGGUAGUCCACGCCGUAAACGAUGAGUGCUAAGUGUUAGGGGGUUUCCGCCCCUUAGUGCUGCAGCUAACGCAUUAAUCACUCCGCCUGGGGAGUACGGUCGCAAGACUGAAACUCAAAGGAAUUGACGGGGGCCCGCACAAGCGUGGGAGCAUGUGGUUUAAUUCGAAGCAACGCGAAGAACCUUACCAGGUCUUGACAUCCCGUUGACCACUGUAGAGAUAUAGUUUCCCCUUCGGGGGCAACGGUGACAGGUGGUGCAUGGUUGUCGUCAGCUCGUGUCGUGAGAUGUUGGGUUAAGUCCCGCAACCAGCGCAACCGUUGAUCUUAGUUGCCAUCAUUUAGGUGGGCACUCUAAGGUGACUGCCGGUGACAAACCGGAGGA